rnacentral:rRNA from 1 species
UACCAGCACCCCGAGUGGUCGGGACGUUUUAUUGGGCCUAAAGCAUCCGUAGCCGGUUCUACAAGUCUUCCGUUAAAUCCAGCUGCUUAACAGAUGGGCUGCGGAAGAUACUAUGGAGCUAGGAGGCGGGAGAGGCAAGCGGUACUCGAUGGGUAGGGGUAAAAUCCGUUGAUCCAUUGAAGACCACCAGUGGCGAAGGCGGCUGCCAGAACGCGCUCGACGGUGAGGGAUGAAAGCUGGGGGAGCAAACCGG